rnacentral:rRNA from 1 species
UUGACGGGGCCGCACAAGCGUGGAGCAUGUGGUUAAUUCGACGCAACGCGAAGAACCUUACCAGGGCUUGACAUCCCCUGACCGCGUAUGAAAGUACGUUUUCACCCUCGGGUGACAGGGAGACAGGUGGUGCAUGGUUGUCGUCAGCUCGUGUCGUGAGAUGUUGGGUUAAGUCCCGCAACGAGCGCAACCCCUACGUUUAGUUGCUAACGCGUGAAGGCGAGCACUCUAGACGAACUGCCGUUGACAAAACGGAGGAAGGUGGGAUGACGUCAAAUCAUCAUGCCCCUUAUGUUCUGGGCUACACACGUGCUACAAUGGCCGGUACAGACGGACGCAAAGCCGCGAGGUGGAGCAAAUCCUAAAAAGCCGGUCUCAGUUCGGAUUGCAGGCUGCAAUUCGCCUGCAUGAAGUCGGAAUCGCUAGUAAUCGCAGGUCAGCAUACUGCGGUGAAUACGUUCCCGGGCCUU